UGGAUGAUUGAGAAGGUUUAGCAGCUUCAUACUGUGCUGUUAUAACUGGUUAAUAACCUCCUAAAUCAAAUCGGGCCGAUGCAACAACUGGCUAUAUGAGACGGUCAUUACAGCUAAUGUUGCGUUUGUGCACAAAACUA